rnacentral:lncRNA from 1 species
UUAUCUAUCUCUUUCCCUCUUAAAAGAUAGAUUUUCUCUCCCAUAGACGGUCCAUGGACAAUGUGUGCAUAGCUCACUCCAUCUCUCUUUCAUCUAAACAUCAUUUUACGUCAAUGCUCCCAGAUGGCAGGAAACUCCAGUUAUGUGCAAUGCUUAAAACCUAUGCAGUAUGAGGCCUUGGAUAGCCAGGUCUGGUCCACGGUUCAUGGAACGUCAG